rnacentral:rRNA from 1 species
GAUGAACGCUGGCGGCGUGCUUAACACAUGCAAGUCGAACGGUGAAGGCGGAGCUUGCUCUGCUGGAUCAGUGGCGAACGGGUGAGUAACACGUGAGCAAUCUGCCCCUGACUCUGGGAUAAGCGCUGGAAACGGCGUCUAAUACUGGAUACGAGCUGCGAAGGCAUCUUCAGCAGCUGGAAAGAAUUUCGGUCAGGGAUGAGCUCGCGGCCUAUCAGCUUGUUGGUGGGGUAAUGGCUCACCAAGGCGUCGACGGGUAGCCGGCCUGAGAGGGUGACCGGCCACACUGGGACUGAGACACGGCCCAGACUCCUACGGGAGGCAGCAGUGGGGAAUAUUGCACAAUGGGCGGAAGCCUGAUGCAGCAACGCCGCGUGAGGGACGACGGCCUUCGGGUUGUAAACCUCUUUUAGCAGGGAAGAAGCGAAAGUGACGGUACCUGCAGAAAAAGCGCCGGCUAACUACGUG